UCCCCUAUAGCUCAGUUGGUAGAGCGUUCGGCUUUUAGUCAACCGAAAUGUCCAGGGUUCGAGCCCCUGUGGGGGAG